rnacentral:lncRNA from 1 species
GAAACAAACAAACAAACAAACAAACAAACAAAAAGGAGAGAGAGAUAACAGUUAAAUCAGAUACUUAUUACUAUUGAAGUAUAAAAAAAUAACAUUGGAACAUUGGAACAAUUGUAAUUCUUUAAUAUUUCCUUUGAAAGAACACUGAAUAAAAAAAAAUUCCUUCACUUUUAAAGCUGCCUGGAGAUUUACAGGUGUAUAAAGAGACAGAUAUGUCAAAAUACUUCUAAUAACAUUAGUGUUCUCUGGAACUGUCAUCAUGAAAACAACUGCCUACACUGCUACAACAGAUACAAAUUGUCCCUAAAAACAUUUUCACUUCAUGAAAUAAACAUGUAGUUACGUACAGUUAUCAUUCCAGAUGAACACAAAUAAUGAAGGAAAGAGAAUGCAGAACUGAAAGAUGGGAAGAGGAUUAUGCUGCUGAACCAAGACUUCCUCCAGAAUCCAAGUGCCUGAAAACAGGAUCAUUAAUUUCUGAAAAAGAUAAAAGUUUUGCCUUAUGGCAUUUGGAUUACAUACAAGAGUCCAAAGACAAAAAAGGUGGACAAAAGCAAAGAGAAAUCGUGGCCCCAUGCGUAGGCAUAAUUUCAGGAGAGGCAGUAUUUUGAAAAAAAAAAGUGACCACAGAAGGACAAUGAAUGAUGAAAUGACACAAAGGAGGAAUGGGGGAUUUACAUCUUCUUCACUAUGAAAUCAGAUGCUGCUUUUACAAUAACUGAAAAGCCUGAAGGAGUGGUGCUAAUGGAAAACUGGACAAGUCCUUAGAAAUACAGUGUUGAGCAGUCAUGAAGGCAACAUGGUAUGAACAGAUGCUUACCACAAUCAAUGCAAAAGAAAUACUUGUGUGAGAAAAGUACCUUGAGCUCAGAAUUAAGUUCUGAAAAAAAAAUAAAUAUGUAACACACCUGCA